UACGGGGGGGGCAAGCGUUGUUCGGAAUUACUGGGCGUAAAGGGCUCGUAGGUGGCCAACUCAGUCAGACGUGAAAUCCCUCGGCUUAACCGGGGAACUGCGUCCGAUACUGGAUGGCUUGAGGUUGGGAGAGGGAUGCGGAAUUCCAGGUGUAGCGGUGAAAUGCGUAGAUAUCUGGAGGAACACCGGUGGCGAAGGCGGCAUCCUGGACCAAUUCUGACACUGAGGAGCGAAAGCCAGGGGAGCAAACGGG
rnacentral:rRNA from 1 species